GCUUAUAUAUUGUUUAAUCAGGAUAGGCAAGAACUUGUUUCACAGCCUGCAUAUAUAGUUGUGAUCAUCUCAAAUCUAGGAGAACUUUGCUAACAUUUGCUGCAUUGAGUGAUUUCAGAAGCAAAACCCCAAUGAUGUGUACAGUAUGUACCACUACACUAGCUCAGAAUCAAGAUUUUGAGAUGUAUCAAGGUUUGCACUUGGCUCCAAACUUACUUAUCUUGUGGUUUUGGACAAGUUGCUCAGACCUCUAAGUCUCGCUUUCUUCAUUUCUAAGACUGGAUUAAUAAUACCUACUUCCUAGUUUUGUCCUCAGGGUUCAAGGCAAUGAUGUUUUGAAACAUCUAGUGGCAUUCAUCAAAGGCUCUAAUUUUAUAGCUGUUAUUACUAUCCUAUUUCUCUCAUUUUCUAUUCCAGUUGGGUGUGGUUUAGGAAAAUAAUUCUCUGUUUCAAUAUGUGUAGGAGGCAUCAUCCUAGCUCUGCAAGGACCACAGUAAAUGGGGCUCAGACAAUAAAUCACUUCUUGGUUGAUAGAAUGACAACGGCAUGCCAGACCUUUCUGAUCUAUGAGGCUUUUACAAUGUUGAUAUUGUUGCUGAUGAUCCAACAGGGCCUUUCUUGGAAUUUAUAGAAAGAAAAACUAUGACCUUACAAUCCUUACCACAAGAGGAAAAUAAACUGACAAAAGAAUUUUGUGGAUUUUGUUUGAGUAUAUCCAAGGUUCUUUUCUUUGGAUUGAACCCUGACCUUCAUGUCAAACAUGAACAGCUAAUAAGUCUUCCUCUUUGUUUACCUAUUUCUAACAACGAUGAGGCUUCUGGGGAAUAUUAGCAUAAAGUACAGAAGAUGCGUUGGUUUCUCCAUUGCUGUGACCCCUUCCCCUAUCUGAACUCUACGUUGCAGUCAGAGGCAUAUUUUACAAGUAGAAGGUUUGUAAUCAAUUUUGGAGGAUACAGUCAAAAGAGCUGCAUUUGGGGACUGAAUGGUCAUUUCACUUUUCCAAUUAGAACGUGGCUGCUUUUAACUGAAGAUACCAAAAGCUACAGCAACAAACCCAAACCAGAGUGCCUAUGUGAGUUUCAUCCUAAAUUUUGGGCUUCACUGACUGAGCCACAAGGCUUCCUAAUUUCUAGUUUUUCUUUAGGCCAGGACUUUUAGAGAUGAACUAAGGGCUUCCCAGUCAACCUGUCUUUUACUAUAGCAAGAAAACAGCUAAAAAACUCCUAGCUGGAGACAACUGAAAGGAAGGAAGAAAUCAUAGAGCCAACCAAACAGUAGUAAGAAAUAAGCUCAUGUGCUAUCACAUACAAAGUACUCAUCAAUAGACAUCUGUCCAAACUGAAACUAAAUACCAUUUCCCUGCCAUAAGAAUUAAGUUAAAUGCGGAGGGUUGGUGGCACCCAUUUGGGGUAGGGCCCUGGAGACUGUCUCCAAGACAAAGAAUCUAGGUAGCUGCUUGGACUUCUGGUCCAAUUCCCAUUAUUGGAUGGGGGCCAAUGAACCAUGGGCAGUGAACUUCUGGCAGCCUGACCAAAUUGUUAACCAAACUGAAGUUUGUUUGGUGAAAAACCAGUCACUAAGACAUGAAGGAUGCAGCAAGAAAAGGGUUUAUUUGAGAGGAAGCCAAACAAUGAGACAGGAAAACAAGCUUUCAACACAAUUCAUAAAAAGGGAAGAGUCCAGGAUACUUAAAAGAAAAAAGGAUCCGGGUAUAGGGGAAAGGAGGAAAGGAGUUUAUGUGACUUUAAAUUAGAUAAAGUUAGAAAGUAAGGUAAGGUUCAAGUCAUUUAGUCUGUACCUGUGAGGAUCUUCUACUUACAUUUUCAUGUGAUCCGUGACCGGGGAAUGGUGUCCUUAGCAUGAUUCGUGGGUGGAUUUUUAGGCCCCUCCAUGUCAAAGUUUAACCAUCAGACAUUUAUGCAUGCUUAAAGAGAAGGUUGGUGGUACUUGCUGGUUUGGGCCAGUUUUGUCUGCAAAACAAAUCAACAGUUUGUUAUCAAGGUGUACCAGGCAAGAAUUUUAUCUUAUAGAAACACAGUGGCAAGACUGCCUUCUGAGAACAAGCAGAU
rnacentral:lncRNA from 12 species